rnacentral:rRNA from 1 species
CCCUUAGAUGUUCUGGGCCGCACGCGCGCUACACUGACGAUGUCAGAGAGUGUCUCCUUCACCGAGAGGUGUGGGUAAUCUUUUAAACAUCGUCGUGCUGGGGAUAGAUCAUUGCAAUUUUUGAUCUUAAACGAGGAAUUCCUAGUAAGCGCGAGCCAUCAGCUCGCGCUGAUUACGUCCCUGCCCUUUGUACACACCGCCCGUCGCUACUACCGAUUGAAUGGUUUAGUGAGGCCUUCUGACUGGCGCCGCUACUCUGGCAACAGAGCGGCGGAUGCCGGGAAGUUGGUCAAACUUGAUCAUUUAGAGGAAGUAAAAGUCGUAACA